GCGGGUGUGGCGAAAAAUCGGCAGACGCACCAGACUAGGAAUCUGGCGCCUUUGGCGUGGGGGUUUUCGACUCCCUGCACCCGCA
rnacentral:tRNA from 1 species